GGAGGGAGUGAGCAGGAUGCUGUGAGAGAGGGUUACUAUUCCAAGUGGCACCUGGGCCAGCAGCAUUGGCAUCACCUGGGACUUGUGAGAAAUCCAGCAUCUCAGGCUCCACUGCAGGUCUCCUAAAUCAGAAUCUACAGUUUAACAAGAUCCCCAGCAGAUGUGUGUGUAAGCUCAAGAACCUGUUGAGAGGAGCACCUAGCAUAAGACCUGGCUUGUGACAGAUCUGCCACCCUCUAGCUGGGUGACUUUUAGACAAGUGAUCGACCUCUCUGAGCCAGAGUUUCUACCUUGUAAAAAAAAAAAAAUCCCUUCCUGCAUGGUCAGCUGUCAUGAAAAGGACACAUGGUGAUGGGCAGACAAAGACAAGGCUUAGCUUCGUGUUUGACUCCUAGGAGCGCCCAGUUCAUGGAGGCUGCUGCUGUCACUAAUCUGUUUCCAUCUUCCCCUGGGAAUCCUGAGGUUUAUCUGUGAGCCUUUGGACUGCUGUAUGGACAACAUACUCUGCAGUAGCAUGAAGAAGUGAGUGAAGACCCUCCCUUGAACCGUUUGCCCUGAAAGAACAGAAGUCACAUCUUGAUAUCUCAGUGCCUUUACAGUGCCAGGGAUGGGGUAGGUGCUGAGCGCCUGGUAUGUGCUCACCCUAUGCUGUACAACACACAGAAAGCCCCACAGGGUUUGAACUGUAAUUAGGUAGAGGGUGUGUGGGACUCGCCUUGGGUCUC
rnacentral:lncRNA from 10 species